GAUGAACGCUGGCGGCGUGCCUAAUACAUGCAAGUCGAGCGAACAGAUGAGGAGCUUGCUCCUCUGACGUUAGCGGCGGACGGGUGAGUAACACGUGUAUAACCUACCUAUAAGACUGGGAUCACUUCGGGAAACCGGAGCUAAUACCGGAUAAUAUAUUGAACCUCAUGGUUCAAUAGUGAAAGACGGUUUUGCUGUCACUUAUAGGUGGAUCCGCGCCGCAUUAGCUAGUUGGUAAGGUAACGGCUUACCAAGGCAACGAUGCGUAGCCGACCUGAGAGGGUGGUCGGCCACACUGGAAGAGAGAAAGGGCCGAGACUUCGGCGGGAGGCAACAGUCGGGAAUCCUACGCAAUGGGGGAAAGCGUGAUGGAGCGAAGCCGGGUGAGUGAUGACGGUGUUCGGCUCGUAAAAUUCUGUUAUUCGGGAGGAACAAAUGUGUAAGUAACUAUGCCGGUAUUGACGGUACCCAAUCAGAAAGCCACGGCUAACUACGUG
rnacentral:rRNA from 1 species